rnacentral:lncRNA from 10 species
AGAGAGACAAGGAAAUGCUGUCACCGCGGUUAACACGCACGUGGAGGUUGGUUAAAGGGAAGACCUGGGUUUUAGUCCUGUCUCCAUCAACCUCAAGAAAUGGGACCUCAUGGAAGGGAGGGGAGGCAAUGCCGAGGAUGUGCUCCUGAGCAGGUGCCACAAUUCUUCACCUGUAAGGCCUCUCCAGAGGCCCAAACUUUAAUAGAAUCUGAGAGAAAAAAGUGGCCAGUCUAUCUGCUGUCCAGAGUGAUGCCAAACUCUUUCUCCCGGAGCCAGUUCUCCCCGUUGGGCAGUCAGGAAACAAUAAGUGAACAAGAAGUAACCUCAGAAGAAGAAAGAACUUUGGGAGAAUGCACUGAGAAAGGCCAGACUGAGUCCCCUUGGAUGAAGUUAAUUAAGAAACAAACA